GUCCACGCCCUAAACGAUGCACACUAGACCGAUGCGGCUCUGACGCCGUAUUGGUCGUAGAGAAAUUGAUAAGUGUGCCGCCUGGGGAGUACGGUCGCAAGGCUAAAAACUCAAAGAAAUUGACGGGGGCUCACACAAGCGGUGGAGCAUGUUGCUUAAUUCGAAGCAACGCGAAGAACCUUACCCGGGUUUGACAUGCACGGAUUAGUCCCUGGAAACAGGGGUGACACCCGCAAGGGUGGAACGUGCACAGGUGCUGCAUGGCUGUCGU
rnacentral:rRNA from 1 species